UCUGAAGCAGUUUCUGAAGUGAAGCAAUGUUUGACAGAGUAGUUAUAAUCCUUCAACAUCCUUCUAUAUAAGCUUUGUAAUACACCAUGUCUGAUAUAUUGGACUUGUUGGAUGGAGGAAACAUAGUCAGCCAUAGAUGUGAAUAUCCUAACCCUUCAGCUACACUACAUGCGUCGCCAUCAGCAGUGUCCAUGUGACGUUCUACCUGCUACACCAGAACCCAACCAAAUAAACAUUUCAAUUCAAGAUAGAAAUAAGGUUUUGUGUCAGCCAUUGAGAAUUGACCCUCUGUAGCAGAGCAGUAAGGAUGCAUUGUGGUUAUACCGGCUCUAAUGACCUUCUAGUAGGAGAUGAAAGGUGGGAACCAGGAACAGCACAUAACAGUUUGUGGCCUGGAGGUGAGGGACCUGGUAACAGAGUUGUUAUUCCAAGCUGCUGUGUGUGGAAAGUACUGGCCUCCCGUGAUCCACUUCAGCAAAUUUGAGGCUUUAUUCCUGAGAGCUAGUAGCUAGCUGUACAUGUCCUGCCUUGUGUGUGUGUUUCAUUUAAGUUCUACAAGUGUUCAGUUGUCAUUGUAAUUGUCCCAUUUCUUUUUAGAAAUCAGUCACAUUUUUGUUUUUAAUUGUGAAUUCAAAUGUAAAUGUGGAUUUUUACAUAACAGAUUUGUGGUCAUUUUAUCAUGCAGUAUGUAGUCCAAGUUAUCCAUGGUUCUGUUACACUGACAGUGUUGAUGGUGAUUGGAAAGAAAAAGUAAUAUCACUCAAAUAAAUUGAAAUCCUUA